UCAUGUUUUUUUUUUAUGGAGUUUGGUGGUUUGUCACUGCCGAGUUUGUGUUAUGGUGCUUCAUGUUGUGUGAAUACUGGAAAUCAAAAUAAGCUCAUCUUUGGAAGUGGAACCAAAUUAACCAUUGAAGCCAAGGAUGAGUUCGAGCCAUCCUACUAUAAACUGAAAGAUGGUAACAACACAGAGGCAUGCCUGGCGACUGGUUUCAGCAGACAGAACGCAACAAAAUUAGACCCUAAAAAUGAGGGUCUAUUCAAUAAUUCAGAGGCCGUCCUGAUAUCAGAAGAACCACUAGAUGGCCUGUUCAACCAGGUGGCUUUGUUAAAUUCAACAAGUGAAGGAAAAUGUCAAGAGACGGAUGGUGACGGUUUGUGCGAAGAAACUUUGGAGCUAGAUCCGACAGUGAACGGCAUCACUCUGACCAUCACGAUCCUCAGGCUGAUGUUUUUCAAGACCGUCGUCUUCAACAUCGUGAUGAGCCUCCGGCUGUGGAUCAGUCAGUUGAGGAGCUGUGCAGCGAGGAAACCUUAAGAGACGCGCUGGCUAGCAUCUCUGUUCGAGUCAGGACCGUGCAGGACAGACUCGGGGCAGCUGGGAACGUUAGCAGGGAUGUGGUCGCUGAUGAAGACGAGCUGCGCGAAGACGCCUGUGUCACAGACGAAGGCGGCAGUGGUUUCUGCCUCAAAGGCUGCUGGGACAGGAUGUGUGUGCAUGUGGGCGGGGAUAUCGAGGUCAGGCGGUGCUGAGGUGAAGACGCAUCAUCAGCUUCACCGCCGACAGGAAGUCUGCAGCAGAAUGUGCAUGAGGUAAAAAGAAACGAGGCUGCAGCAGCGUGAAGCUCUGAGGUCAGAAUCUGACAAACAUCCGUCAGUAGACGCAGAAGAAGAAAAACAACGACCUCAGAAUAUUUCCGACACGUGGUUGAAAAAAAAAAUCUGCAGCUGAAAGUGUUUCAGACCUUUCAGGAACUUUGUAUCUACUUAUUUAAAUUUAAAAUACAAAAAUACUUGAAGUAAAAUGUUGGCAAAUAAAUAAACACAAAGGUUGCAAACUGUAAUUUCAGACAUGUACACUAUAGACAUCAGGCGUGUCCACAUACUUUUGGCCAUAUACUACUUCGUCAGAAAAGAGAGUUCUUGUCAUUUAUCCUUAUUUAAUCUAAGAUAUUUGACCAUUUUUAUUGCCAUGUUAUAAUCACAUUUUCACUUUCUACACGUGUUCAGUAUUACAUAAAUAAAAAAUGUGGUGUUUCUAUUUCUCAAUAAGGCCUCAUGGUAUGUUUAUACAGCGUAUUUGGCUUGUCAUGUUGUUUAUUAUGUGAAGAUGAUUUCAGAGAGAAAUGUGAUUGUUUAACAUGUAAUCACCUGAUGGGGGUUCAUAAAGAAACAUGCUGUUUUAGAAAAACUGUGUCAGCGUCAAUCUGGACUCCAUACUCAUGUUCACUGAUGUGUGUGAGCAGCAUGAACAUCUUCAAACAUUAACAUACAUCAGGUUAAAAAGGAAUAAACUGAGUUUCUUGACUGCAGGAACCAGUUUGUUGUCGUCUAAGCUCUACAAGAACUUCAGAGGUCAGAGGUCAGGGCCUAGAGCUGGUAGAGAUUCCUGGUCUUGGUCACCUCAGCAGCGUGGAGGUUUGAAGUAGGUUCAGGUUCAAGAACAGUUUCUCUGUGUCAAGUGACAAACGAUUUUUCGGUCAAUUUAACAUUGAACAAAGUGAGUUUGAAUAUUAGCCUUUUGCUAGAGCCUGCGGUCUGUAAGCUAAAUUACCCCAUGAGACCAUGAAUUUUACACUCUUCUCUACCAGUUUUGUCAGGUUAAGAGUUUAUAACUGUGUAAAGGCGUGUUGUUAAUCAUUUUCUAAUAUUGGGGGGAAAACUGCAGAGGCUGCACAGUCCAGCUUGUUGCUGCUGUUAGCUCACAUUCAGAUCAGGUUUAUAGAUGCUGACAGGAGUCAUGUGUCCUGUAGGUGGUGUACUGAACGCUUUCUGUUGGUUUUUUGAUGUGACACGAGCACCAUCCUGAGGCGUUUUUCAUGAACUGUUACACUCAAGUCAACAAGUCCUGAGUGAAGCAGGUGAUUUCUAUCAUGUGAUGUGGGAAGCCUAUUUGUUUUUAUUUGUGUACUGAAAUAAAUCCUUUAAACU